UUGUCCCUACGGGAGGCAGCAGUGAGGACUAUUGGUCAAUGGCCGCAGGGCUGAACCAGCCACGUCGCGUGAGGGAUGACGGUCCUAUGGAUUGUAAACCUCUUUUGUCAGGGAGCAAAGGGCGCCACGUGUGGCGCUUUGCGAGUACCUGAAGAAAAAGCAUCGGCUAACUCCGUGCCAGCAGCCGCGGUAAUACGGAGGAUGCGAGCGUUAUCCGGAUUUAUUGGGUUUAAAGGGUGCGCAGGCGGAAUGUCAAGUCAGCGGUAAAAUGUCGGGGCUCAACCCCGUCGUGCCGUUGAAACUGG
rnacentral:rRNA from 1 species